rnacentral:ncRNA from 1 species
UGUCUCCUCCAUGUCUCCUCCUGAUAUGGAUUCAGCCCGCCAACCUAGGCGGGCUUUUUUUC